rnacentral:rRNA from 1 species
AAUCAACGCUGGCGGCGUGCCUCAGACAUGCAAGUCGAACGCGAAAGUCCCCUUCGGGGGACAAGUAGAGUGGCGCACGGGUGAGUAACACGUAGGUAAUCUACCUUUGGAUGGGGAAUAACAACCGGAAACGGUUGCUAAUACCGCAUAAUGCAGCGGCACCUAAUGGUGACAGUUGUUAAAGCGGGGGAUCGCAAGACCUCGCGUCUAAAGAGGAGCCUGCGGCAGAUUAGCUAGUUGGUAAGGUAAUGGCUUACCAAGGCGAUGAUCUGUAGCCGGCCUGAGAGGGCGGUCGGCCACACUGACACUGACAUACGGGUCAGACUCCUACGGGAGGCAGCAGUCGGGAAUUUUGGGCAAUGGGCGAAAGCCUGACCCAGCAACGCCGCGUGAAGGAUGAAAUCCUUCGGGAUGUAAACUUCGCAAGAACGGGAAGAAUAAGUAAGAGCUAACAUCUCUUAUGAUGACGGUACUGUUUGUAAGCUCCGGCUAACUCCGUGCC